CAUGGUCCGGCGGGCAGCCCGGGCACGGUAGGAGCCGGCGGGGCGGGCGGGGAGCGGGGCGGCUCCGGGGCCUCUCGGUGCCCGAGCAGCGGCGCCUCUGGCGGGCAGGGCCGGGGCGAGGCCGAGCCCGGCUGCGGGGGAGCAGCCCGGGGAGACUGAUGGCUGUGAUUGAUGGCUGUGAUUGAUGGCUGUGAUUGAUUGAUGGCUGUGAUUGAUUGAUGGCUGUGAUUGAUUGAUGGCUGUGAUUGAUUGAUGGCUGUGAUUGAUGGCUGUGAUUGAUUGAUUGAUUGAUGGCUGUGAUUGAUUGAUUGAUUGAUUGAUGGCUGCGGCUCCGGGGAUGCCGCGGGAGGGGCGCUGCCCGAGCCCGGCCGUGUGCCCCGGGCUGGGAGGGCAGCGAUGAUCGGUGCUGCGGCUCUUUGGGACAGCGGGUUUGUUCCUUCGGGGCUCCGGAGCACACCUUACAAGGUCUGGUUACUGUGUCGCUUUUUACUACAUAAAGCUACGCGAGUACAGCGGGGACUUACAUAAUCCUCUGUGUGCAGGACCCAGAGCGUUGGUGUAAGGUCAGUUUUGCUGUAGCCUCCUGCCGGACUGCGCCCUGUUUUGCCCUUAUUCCCUGGCUGAAGUGGGCAGCCGGGGUGCCUGGUGGCUGCUGGUGGCCAUGCCCCACUCAAAAACCCUGAGCUGUCUGAGCCAUGGCUCAAGAUAAGGAAGUUUACAAAAUGAUUGUAAAAAUGGGAGUUGCUCCUUGAAGAAAGAUCACUUUUUGGUUUUGGUUUUUUUUUCCAUGCUAGAGAUGCAGGAUGGCUCAAUGAACCUUUUGUCCCAGGAGAAGCGUGUGCCUUUCCCACCCCUCUAACAUCUGAUUUCUACAGCAGAUGCAGCCCUGCAAAGCUCAGCAGCACAGACAGCUCAGGCUUGCUGCUCUAAGUUGGCUGCUGGAGCAAACUGCCGAGACUCCAGUGCCCCACGGUAGGAGAGGUCUGGCCGAUGGUCAGAGUGGCUCUCCCAGCCUGCAAGGAGGGAUAUUUCCCUGGAGCCUUGUUCGUGCAUUACCUGGCAGAGUGGUGCAGCAUGACAGCAGCAGAGGAGCAGACCUGCAUGGGACCCUGCAUGACCUGGGGGUUUCCCAGAGCUGUGGAGCUGCUGCUCUGCUCCUUUGUGUUUCCAGGUGUGUGAUGGAGCUCAUUCCCACAGCUUACCUUGCCAAGUCACGAGUCAGACACCGGUUGCUUUCAGACAAAGCUGUGUGAUGCCUGCAGAAUAAAAGUGAGUGAGUGUCUGGUACCA
rnacentral:lncRNA from 1 species